UCUUAACGUCGGAUCGCAUGGAAAAUCGGAGCAUGUGUCCAGCCGCUGGACACAUGCUCCGAUUUUCCAUGCGAUCCGACGUCCGAC
rnacentral:pre_miRNA from 1 species